rnacentral:lncRNA from 1 species
AACCCCAGCUCCAGGGGCUCAGCAGGCAAAGGGAAUCACUGAGUGGGGGCACCACCCGUGGACUCCAAUAUCUCAACCUCUCCCUCCACAGGUUGGAGGUGGGAGGAACAACCCCCACCAAACCCAGAGCCGAAAACUGAGGGAGUUUUACAGACAGGACGGAGCUCCUGCACCUCGGAGCCUCAGUUGGGAAUGACCUGGGGUCUUGUCCUGAAGCUGAGUCUGGUGAACGUGCCCCAUUUGUAACAUGAGGGGUACUUCUCUGGAGGGACUGUAUGUUGACAGUGGCAGAGUGGAGCCCUGAAGUCCACCUGAGUGAAUAUACCAGGGCUUGAGAAAAAAAAAAAAAAAAAAAAA